rnacentral:lncRNA from 1 species
CAAACAUUAAAAGCCUGUUGGUACACCCAGCCUUUGUACUUUUUCUUUUUUUGCCUACAUUGCAAUACAUUACACUUUGAAUUUUACUCCCAAAGAUCCUUCUCUCCGAAACGAUGGUGGACAUUUGGGGAUAAGUAUUCUUCUGAAGAUGCAAAAUGGAUUGAUACAGCAACUCACGUUGGGCCUGGCCUUGCCUCCAUCAUGUUCCAGCUGAUCUUUCUUCUACAUCUGGAACAUUCGUAAGGUCUUCAUCUCCCAGACAGAUUCCACGAUGUCUAAAAAGACCACCUUGAGAUUUCAGUUUCUCCCUGUGGAAGAUUUCCUUUUUU